rnacentral:tRNA from 1 species
GGUUUCGUAACUCAGCUGGUAGAGCGUGCGCUGUACAAAACGCGUAGGCGGUGUCCACGCUUGGGUUCGAAUCCCAUCGAAACUG